rfam:Eutrema salsugineum unplaced genomic scaffold scaffold_8, whole genome shotgun sequence.
AUCUUGGGGAGGGCACCUCGGUAUAGCUUCUGAACCGUUCCCAAGCUUCACUAAAGCUCUUGUUGGUGUGUUGUGUGAAGCUGGAGAUCUGAUUUCUCAGCU